CGGUUGUAGAUUGAGGAUUUCCAUCUCCCCAAUCUUUUGAUAAUAUGCACCGGAGUGUCAGUACUGGAAGUGGCGGAAGCGGCCUCUAUUCUAAAUGAAUGUCCUGAGAAUGAUGCUGGAUUGAAACCUAAUCUCAGGAGUAGGGUUCUGAUAUAGAAGAUGAAUUUAGCAGUGGUAAGGGGCAACCUCUGAAGUGAGAGAAGUGAUAAAUUAUAUAUGAUAUGAUCGAGUGUGGCCAGGUAGGAGUCAAGUAUUUUUAACGGGCACCAUUUGUUCUCGGUGAGGGAUAGUGGAU